AGUUCAAAAAGGAAAAAAAACGAAAGAAAGGUCCACUCCCGCUAAAGCUUCCCCGAGAAGAGGAGGGCGUAAGGCAAGAGGGGGCAAAAGAUAGAGGGGAGUAUACCUAUAUCUUCUUUUCUUCCCUUCUUUAGAUAAUGUGUAUAAAGCUGCAAGUCAUUUCAAGGGGAUACUUAUUUAACUAAUGAUUUGAAAAAUGGUUACAAGUUCUCCUUACAAGUCGUUGAUUUUGACUUCUUUAUAUGUAUGUGGAUUAUAUAUAUUUUUUUAAUUUCCUUUUAGGAAUAAAUAAAAACUUGCAUCUUGAUAUGAACCAUCCCUCCUUCUUUUUCAUUUAAGGAAUAUAUAGUUUUGAUAUGUAUUGUUGAUAUUUGCCAAUUUUGUUUAUAUGGUCAGAUAUUUUUUCACCUUUUGAUUACCAAAUUUAUAAAACCAUUUGGUGACUUCACUAGACGAAGAAUUCAUGCAAAACAUUCUCGCAGUAUAGAUCUGCUCUCACUACUUCAAGUUCAUUUACAAAGGAAUUUUAUGCAGUUUUCAAAAUGAAAUGUUUAUCAGCCUCAUCAAAUAAUAUUAGCUUUUGGAGAUUUCAGUUUGUCCUUUGGAUCCACCACCCCUGUGCUGCCCACCUGCCGCUCGAGGGAAUUAAAAAGUCUUCGCUGGCAGGUGGCGCUGUUGGUGAUGGUGACGGUAGCGAUGUAGGGUAAGAUGUAUUAGACAACGACACCCAUCUUUUGGAUGACUGUAUACACUCACAAAUUUCUCAGUCACUAGAAUAAUUUCUUGUCCCUUAAAUUCAGUCUAGAUGAUUUUUGUUUUUGGUAAUUUUAUACUUUUUUCUCUCCUUUUUUUCAUUGUUUUCUGUUGGUUUCUAGUUUAAAGUGUUUAAGGCUAUUUAGAAU